CCUAACACAUGCAAGUCGAACGGUAACAGGAAACAGCUUGCUGUUUCGCUGACGAGUGGCGGACGGGUGAGUAAUGUCUGGGAAACUGCCUGAUGGAGGGGGAUAACUACUGGAAACGGUAGCUAAUACCGCAUAACGUCGCAAGACCAAAGAGGGGGACCCUCGGGCCUCUUGCCAUCGGAUGUGCCCAGAUGGGAUUAGCUUGUUGGUGGGGUAACGGCUCACCAAGGCGACGAUCCCUAGCUGGUCUGAGAGGAUGACCAGCCACACUGGAACUGAGACACGGUCCAGACUCCUACGGGAGGCAGCAGUGGGGAAUAUUGCACAAUGGGCGCAAGCCUGAUGCAGCCAUGCCGCGUGUAUGAAGAAGGCCUUCGGGUUGUAAAGUACUUUCAGCGGGGAGGAAGGGAGUAAAGUUAAUACCUUUGCUCAUUGACGUUACCCGCAGAAGAAGCACCGGCUAACUCCGUGCCAGCAGCCGCGGUAAUACGGAGGGUGCAAGCGUUAAUCGGAAUUACUGGGCGUAAAGCGCACGCAGGCGGUUUGUUAAGUCAGAUGUGAAAUCCCCGGGCUCAACCUGGGAACUGCAUCUGAUACUGGCAAGCUUGAGUCUCGUAG
rnacentral:rRNA from 1 species